rnacentral:rRNA from 1 species
AUUGAACGCUGGCGGCAUGCUUUACACAUGCAAGUCGAACGGUAACAGGCCUUCGGGUGCUGACGAGUGGCGAACGGGUGAGUAAUGCAUCGGAACGUGCCCAGAGGUGGGGGAUAACGCAGCGAAAGCUGUGCUAAUACCGCAUGUGAUCUGAGGAUGAAAGCGGGGGACCAGGCAGCAAUGUUUGGCCUCGCGCCUUUGGAGCGGCCGAUGUCAGAUUAGGUAGUUGGUGGGGUAAAGGCCUACCAAGCCGACGAUCUGUAGCUGGUCUGAGAGGACGACCAGCCACACUGGGACUGAGACACGGCCCAGACUCCUACGGGAGGCAGCAGUGGGGAAUUUUGGACAAUGGGCGCAAGUCUGAUCCAGCAAUGCCGCGUGCGGGAAGAAGGCCUUCGGGUUGUAAACCGCUUUUGUACGGAACGAAAAGGCUCUGGCUAAUACCUGGGGCUGAUGACGGUACCGUAAGAAUAAGCACCGGCUAACUACGUG